CUUCAAAUGAGAUAAACUUCAAAGUACGGAGCAUCUUAUUUGUUUGAGCCGCAGCAUGAAGUUCCAACAAGGCGUCCAUACGUUCAGUAGCUACUGAAUUGAGCUAUAAACAAGCAUCAAAUACAGAGAAAAGAAAACUCAAUAAAAUCAACAUUUACACAAUUUUAUCCAGAAAUCCAAAACAAUAUGAAAAUGAACAAAUGAACUAUAUAUCAAUGAAUAUGAAGAUUACCCCAAAU